rnacentral:rRNA from 1 species
UGGGGAAUAUUGGACAAUGGGGGCAACCCUGAUCCAGCAAUGCCGCGUGUGUGAAGAAGGUCUUCGGAUUGUAAAGCACUUUCGACGGGGACGAUGAUGACGGUACCCGUAGAAGAAGCCCCGGCUAACUUCGUGCCAGCAGCCGCGGUAAUACGAAGGGGGCUAGCGUUGCUCGGAAUGACUGGGCGUAAAGGGCGUGUAGGCGGUUUACACAGUCAGAUGUGAAAUCCCCGGGCUUAACCUGGGAGCUGCAUUUGGUACGUGUAGACUAGAGUGUGAGAGAGGGUUGUGGAAUUCCCAGUGUAGAGGUGAAAUUCGUAGAUAUUGGGAAGAACACCGGUGGCGAAGGCGGCAACCUGGCUCAUGACUGACGCUGAGGCGCGAAAGCGUGGGGAGCAAACAGGAUUAGAUACCCUGGUAGUCCACGCUGUAAACGAUGUGUGCUAGAUGUUGGGUAACUUUGG